rnacentral:tRNA from 1 species
AAGGAAAAUAUGAUAAAAAACAGGGCUGCUAACUUUGUUUUGAGUGGUUUAAUUCCAUUCUUUUCCUUA